UACGGAGGGUGCAAGCGUUAUCCGGAUUCACUGGGUUUAAAGGGUGCGUAGGUGGGUGCAUAAGUCAGUGGUGAAAUCCUGGAGCUUAACUCCAGAACUGCCAUUGAUACUAUGCGUCUUGAAUAUUGUGGAGGUAAGCGGAAUAUGUCAUGUAGCGGUGAAAUGCUUAGAUAUGACAUAGAACACCGAUUGCGAAGGCAGCUUGCUACACAAAUAUUGACGCUGAGGCACGAAAGCGUGGGGAUCAAACAGG
rnacentral:rRNA from 1 species